UAGAAGAGAAACUGAAGAUGUGUCCACACUGUAACCAGCAAUAUCACAGAUCACAGUGCCACCAGCCAAUAGUGCAGACGGUGACCAGUGAACUCAUUACAAUUGUUGUACCCUCUGAAUGAGAAUGGCCUUGGCAGGCAAUUACACUGGCUGUGCAUGAAUGUGUGAUUCUCAAAGAGCUUCUGUGCUUAAGCAAUGGCUUCAUUUUUUGGUGGUCGGGUUAGACUGACCAGAAGAUCUAGGAUCCUUCAGUGGCUUCAAAUGAAUGUAUUUGGUCUAGUAUAGUGUUACAGUGCAGCAUAUAGCUGUGGACUACAGGCAUACAUAGUGAAACUGCUACAUUUUUAUUCUGCUAAUUCAGUUAUCAGCAGAAUGAAGCUGGAAGGAAACAUUUACAGCUCAGAAGUGCCACUGAUGUUGCCCAGAGGUCAUACAUCUCAUCUGCCAGUGAGGACUUGCUUGUCUGCAGUGCUCUAAAGGGUCUCUGACUCAUAAGA